GAUGAACACACGUUUUUACCUUCUAUGUUUCAUUUAUUCAUUUUUUUCCAUUGCCUCCCUUAAAAUGUCUUAGAGGCAGAAAACAAGGAUGUUUGUCAAAGACAUGCUUAAAAAUCAUCGACAUGCAUGAGGUACAUGUACACAGAUCCAGAGUAAUGCAGAGGAGUCAAGGAGUGAUGCAAGGAGAGGACAAGUGAGGGGACAUAAUGGACGACGUGGCACCGAAGCCCAAUUCCCCCGUCAUAAGAAAGGUCCCCCAUGAUGCAAUAAAUGUCACACUGCAUCCGUCACCCUGACCGGCGG
ensembl:lncRNA